rnacentral:rRNA from 1 species
ACUGGGCGUAAAGAGCUCGUAGGUGGUUUGUCGCGUUGUUCGUGAAAUCUCACGGCUUAACUGUGAGCGUGCGGGCGAUACGGGCAGACUUGAGUACUGCAGGGGAGACUGGAAUUCCUGGUGUAGCGGUGGAAUGCGCAGAUAUCAGGAGGAACACCGGUGGCGAAGGCGGGUCUCUGGGCAGUAACUGACGCUGAGGAGCGAAAGCGUGGGGAGCGAACAGGAUUAGAUACCCUGGUAGUCCACGCCGUAAACGGUGGGUACUAGGUGUGGGUUUCCUUCCUUGGGAUCCGUGCCGUAGCUAACGCAUUAAGUACCCCGCCUGGGGAGUACGGCCGCAAGGCUAAAACUCAAAGAAAUUGACGGGGGCCCGCACAAGCGGCGGAGCAUGUGGAUUAAUUCGAUGCAACGCGAAGAACCUUACCUGGGUUUGACAUGCACAGGACGCCGGCAGAGAUGUCGGUUCCCUUGUGGCCUGUGUGCAGGUGGUGCAUGGCUGUCGUCAGCUCGUGUCGUGAGAUGUUGGGUUAAGUCCCGCAACGAGCGCAACCCUUGUCUCAUGUUGCCAGCGGGUAAUGCCGGGGACUCGUGAGAGACUGCCGGGGUCAACUCGGAGGAAGGUGGGGAUGACGUCAAGUCAUCAUGCCCCUUAUGUCCAGGGCUUCACACAUGCUACAAUGGCCGGUACAAAGGGCUGCGAUGCCGCGAGGUUAAGCGAAUCCUUUUAAAGCCGGUCUCAGUUCGGAUCGGGGUCUGCAACUCGACCCCGUGAAGUCGGAGUCGCUAGU